UUUUGGCUUAUUGUUUCCUGACUAUGUUUCACAUGACAGUUUUGUAAGUUAUUUUUACAACUAAUUGUAUUUUUGUUUUUAUUAGGUACAAUGAGCAAUUUAAUAAAUCAUCUCAACAAAUUCCAAACUCUCGAUAUGGCCAACUCGGGAUCAGGAUCUGAUUCAGGCGCAGAGGCAGAGUGUCCAAUCGUAAUACUUACACGAGGGCCUACGCAAAUGAAUGAAAUAUCUAAACUAAUGCAUCGGGGCAAAAGAGUGGCCCUCGAAGUUAAUGACAAAGGACAAUGCUGCGGGAAAAAUUAUGCCAAGUUCGUAUCAACUCUAGGAGUCAGAUGCCGGCAGACGAUAGGGUUGUCCUAUAAAAACUGGAAAGAAGCCAACCCUACUCUGAAAAAUAAAGUUUGGAAAGACAUACAAAUGGGAUUCAUUGUGCCGGACUCCUUCAAACAUGAUUGUCUCAUCCUAGCUGGGAAGUUAAUGAAAGACUUCACGAAUAGGAUGACAAAAGACAUCAUAAUGCCCGCUUUGCAAGAGAAGGAUCUGGGACGACUGACACAAGUCCCUGAAAAGCACCCCGAGAUCGACCACGCUGAUUGGUGCAAAUUUGUUGAGAGUCGACUAACUCCUGAAUUUCAGGAGUUGAGUAAGGUGCAACGUGAACGUUCCUCGAAAAUCCAAUCCAGACAUCGAAGUGGUUAGAGUGGAAUGGUGAACGUACGGGAAGCUAUGAAAAAAAAUCUCGAAGUUCCAGAUCCCCCCGCCACUGUGUUUGGAUUAAAUCUCGCACCAAGAGUCGAAAACUUGUCACUGAUUACGACAAGGAAAUUACAGAGAAGAUAGCUCAAUUGGUGCAAAUUUGUUGAGAGUCGACUAACCCCUGAAUUUCAGGAAUUGAAAAAGGUGCAAAGGGAACGCUUGGCAAAAAUCCAAUCCAGACAUCGAAGUGGUCGGAGUGGAAUGGUGAACGUACGGGAAGAUGUGAAAAAUGACCUCGACGUUCAAGAUCCCCCACGCUACCGUGUUUGGAUCAAAUCUCAGACCAAGAGAACAAAACUUGUCACUGAUUACGACAAGAAAAUUGCUGAGAAGAUAGCUAAAUUAGAGGAGCAACUUACUCAGGGUCAAAUUCAAGUCCAGGGCCAAAACGACAUCUUGACGCAGGCGCUCGGGACACCAUAGCAUCCUAGAUGUGUCAAGACUGCUGGGAUUUUGUAUGCUUGGUGUUGAUAAUGCUAAACACUUCCUCAAAUGCUAACUAAGCUGCUGAUGUUUGAAGAGGCUAUGUUGGAGAUGGAAGGAAAGUGAAGAGAUUUCUGAUUCCCGUAUCCUACUUCAACCGAAUUACGUUUCAAAGAGUUUAUUUGCCAAGUCAAAUGAAGAAUUCGGAUUUGAUCCUCCAAUGGGAGGCCUCAUUCUAGUUUCUUUCUUGAAUGUUUCCUCAUGAGGGUGGACACCUAUAUAUGACAUUUUUCACUCAUCAAAUGUUUUUGUUACAAAUUUAUAUUGUAAACAAUGCCAGCAUUGUAAAUAUUUUUUCUUGGUGUCUUAAAAGGAUUAUAACAAUGGAUUAAAAAUAUUUUUCAA